AUGCAAGUCGAGCGCGAAAGCACCCUUCGGGGUGCGAGUAGAGCGGCGAAAGGGUGAGUAAAGUAUAGGCAACGUACCCCUGGGACCGGGAUAGCUGCGGGAAACUGCAGGUAAUACCGGAUGGUCAAGCGAGAUGGCAUCAUCAUGUUUGUAAAUGGUUUUUCUGCCCGGGGAGCGGCCUAUGCCCUAUUAGCUUGUUGGUGGGGUAACGGCCCACCAAGGCUGCGAUGGGUAGCCGGACUGAGAGGUUGGCCGGUCACACUGGGACUGAGACACUGCCCAGACUCCUACGGGAGGCUGCAGUCGAGAAUCUUCCGCAAUGGACGCAAGUCUGACGGGGCGACGCCGCGUGUAGGAUGAAGGCCUUCGGGUUGUAAACUACUGUUGCGAGUUAGGAAGGCUGUGAGAAACAGAUUGACCAACUCGUGAGGAAGCACAGGCUAACUCCGUGCCAGCAGCCGCGGUAAUACGGAGUGUGCAAGCGUUACUCGGAAUCACUGGGCAUAAAGCGCACGUAGGCGGGUCAGCAAGUCGGCCGUGAAAUCCCCCGGCCCAACCGGGGAACUGCGACCGAAACUGCUAGUCUUGAGGGUGAGAGGGGAGAGCGGAACUUCUGGUGGAGCGGUGAAAUGCGUAGAUAUCAGAAGGAACAUCGGUGGUGAAAACGGCUCUCUGGAUCAUUUCUGACGCUGAGGUGCGAAAGCUAGGGUAGCGAACGGGAUUAGAUACCCCGGUAGUCCUAGCCCUAACGAUGUGCACUAGGCAGGGGGGGUC
rnacentral:rRNA from 1 species